UAGCCCCAAACUAACAGCAACCCACAAGUCUGCCAGUAGGUGACUAGAUAAACUGCAGUAUAUCUGUAUAUUGAAAAUUUUCUCAGCAGUAAAAAGAUAUGGUCUACUGACUCGGGCAACCAGGAGGAACACCGAAUGGCUCUGUGUGAAAGAAGGCAUUGUGACGGCAUAUAUUGAGUGAUGACACAUAUAAAAUUCUAGGACAUAUCAUCAAGUCAAAUCAGUGGCUCUCUGAGGAUGACUCAUGAGGACCGAUUGAAGUAUCACCUUGCCAGGAAGCUGCCUCACACUGCACGGUGGAACACUUCCCUUUUCCACCUGCCUGCACAAUCAGCCCCUGUUCAUAUUUUUCUUCUCUGCACUUAUACAAGUUGCUUGGUAUUUGCCCACAUCUAUCUCAGUCCCACUAGUCAGCAAGCACUAUGA